AACGCUGGCGGCGUGCUUAACACAUGCAAGUGGAGCGACGAACCAGGGCUUGCCCUGGGGCAGAGCCGCGAACGGGUGAGUAACACGUGGGUAACCUACCCCGAUGACCGGGACAACCCGAGGAAACUCGGGCUAAUACCGGAUGUUCUCGUUUCUCGUAAGGGAACCGAGUAAAGAUAGCUUUGGCCUUCGCAUCGGGACGGGCCCGCGGCCCAUUAGCUUGUUGGUGAGGUAACGGCUUACCAAGGCGACGAUGGGUAGCUGGUCUGAGAGGACGAUCAGCCACACUGGGACUGAGACACGGCCCAGACUCCUACGGGAGGCAGCAGUGGGGAAUCUUGCGCAAUGGGCGAAAGCCUGACGCAGCAACGCCGCGUGGGGGAAGAAGGCCUUCGGGUUGUAAACCCCUUUCAGUUGGGACGAAGCUUCCAGAGUUAAUAGCUUUGUGGAGUGACGGUACCUUCAGAAGAAGCCCCGGCUAACUACGUGCCAGCAGCCGCGGUAAUACGUAGGGGGCUAGCGUUGUCCGGAAUCAUUGGGCGUAAAGCGCGUGUAGGCGGUCCGGUAAGUCCGCUGUGAAAGUCGGGGGCUCAACCCUCGGAUGCCGGUGGAUACUGUCGGGCUUGAGUACGGAAGAGGCGAGUGGAAUUCCUGGUGUAGCGGUGAAAUGCGCAGAUAUCAGGAGGAACACCAAUUGCGAAGGCAGCUCGCUGGGACGUUACUGACGCUGAGACGCGAAAGCGUGGGGAGCAAACAGGAUUAGAUACCCUGGUAGUCCACGCUGUAAACGAUGGGCACUAGGUGUGGGGGGUGUCGACUCCCUCCGUGCCGAAGCUAACGCAUUAAGUGCCCCGCCUGGGGAGUACGGCCGCAAGG
rnacentral:rRNA from 1 species